GAGUUUGAUCGUGGCUCAGAACGAACGCUGGCGGCGUGGAUAAGACAUGCAAGUCGAACGGGAGAAUUGCUAGCUUGCUAAUAAUUCUCUAGCGGCGCACGGGUGAGUAACACGUGAGUAACCUGCCCCCGAGAGCGGGAUAGCCCUGGGAAACUGGGAUUAAUACCGCAUGGUAUCGAAAGAUUAAAGCAGCAAUGCGCUUGGGGAUGGGCUCGCGGCCUAUUAGUUAGUUGGUGAGGUAACGGCUCACCAAGGCGAUGACGGGUAGCCGGUCUGAGAGGUUGUCCGGCCACACUGGAACUGAGACACGGUCCAGACACCUACGGGUGGCAGCAGUCGAGAAUCAUUCACAAUGGGGGAAACCCUGAUGGUGCGACGCCGCGUGGGGGAAUGAAGGUCUUCGGAUUGUAAACCCCUGUCAUGUGGGAGCAAAUUAAAAAAGAUAGUACCACAAGGGGAAGAGACGGCUAACUCUGUGCCAGCCGCCGCAGU
rnacentral:rRNA from 1 species